rnacentral:rRNA from 1 species
UACGGAGGGUGCAAGCGUUGUCCGGAUUUAUUGGGUUUAAAGGGUGCGUAGGUGGCCUGGUAAGUCAGUGGUGAAAUACAGCCGCUCAACGGUUGAGGUGCCAUUGAUACUGCCCGGCUUGAAGCAGACGGAGGCUGCCGGAAUGGAUGGUGUAGCGGUGAAAUGCAUAGAUAUCAUCCAGAACACCGAUUGCGAAGGCAGGUGGCUAUGUCUGACUUGACACUGAGGCACGAAAGCAUGGGGAGCAAACAGG